rnacentral:rRNA from 1 species
GCCAGCCCGCUCAGAAACUCAAAGGAAUUGACGGGGCCCGCACAAGCGGUGGAGUAUGUGGUUAAUUCGACGCAACGCGCAGAACCUUACCUGGACUUGACAUCCCGAGAAUCUCUAGGAAACUAGAGAGUGCCUCUUUACGGAGGAACUUGGAGACAGGUGCUGCAUGGCCGUCGUCAGCUCGUGUCGUGAGAUGUUGGGUUAAGUCCCGCAACGAGCGCAACCCUCGCCUUUAGUUGCCAGCAUUAAGUUGGGCACUCUAAAGGGACUGCCGGUGUCAAACCGGAGGAAGGUGGGGAUGACGUCAAGUCCUCAUGGCCUUUAUGUCCAGGGCUACACACGUACUACAAUGGCCGGUACAAAGAGCAGCGAGUCAGCGAUGGCCAGCUAAUCUCGUAAAACCGGUCUCAGUUCGGAUUGGAGUCUGCAACUCGACUCCAUGAAGUUGGAAUCGCUAGUAAUCGUGGAUCAGCAUGCCACGGUGAAUACGUUCCCGGGCCUU